UACGAAGGGGGCUAGCGUUGCUCGGAAUCACUGGGCGUAAAGGGUGCGUAGGCGGGUCUUUAAGUCAGGGGUGAAAUCCUGGAGCUCAACUCCAGAACUGCCUUUGAUACUGAGGAUCUUGAGUUCGGGAGAGGUGAGUGGAACUGCGAGUGUAGAGGUGAAAUUCGUAGAUAUUCGCAAGAACACCAGUGGCGAAGGCGGCUCACUGGCCCGAUAUUGACGCUGAGGCACGAAGGCGUGGGGAGCAAACAGG
rnacentral:rRNA from 1 species